GAUGAAGAAGCAGCGAAAUGCGAUAAGUAAUGCGAAUUGCAGAAUCCGUGAGUCAUCGAAUCUUUGAACGCACAUUGCGCCCCUUGGUAUUCCGGGGGGCAUGCCUGUUCGAGCGUCAUUAUAACCCCUCAAGCUCAGCUUGGUGUUGGGGCCUGCCGACUGGCAGCCCUUAAAAUCAGUGGCGGCGCCAUCUGGCUCUAAGCGUAGUAAUUUCUCUCGCUAUAGAGUCCCGGUGGAUGCUUGCCAGCAACCCCCAACUUUCUAUGGUUGACCUCGGAUCAGGUAGGGAUACCCGCUGAACUUAAGCAUAUCAAUAAGCGGAGGA
rnacentral:misc_RNA from 1 species